rnacentral:rRNA from 1 species
GACAGAGGUGCCGAGCGUUAGGCGGAAUCACUGGGCUUAAAGCGUGUGUAGGCGGGUCGUUAAGUGCCUUGUGAAAUCCCACAGCUCACCUGUGGAACUGCUCGGCAUACUGGCGAUCUUGAGCCACUUAGGGGCAACCGGAACAAACGGUGGAGCGGUGAAAUGCGUAGAGAUCGGGAAGAAUACCAGUGGCGAAGGCGUUCUGCUGGGCCGUUGCUGACACUGAGGCGCGACAGCGUGGGGAGCAAACAGG